rnacentral:misc_RNA from 1 species
GUCCUUGGUGAAGCCAUGAACAUCUAGAAAUCUUUUAUACAAUUUUCUCUGUAAAGGAGAAAGCUUUACAGACAUCACAUAGACAGUUUUUGGUGGCAAAUCCAUUUUCACGACAUUCAUGUCCAUUCUUUGAACAAAUCCUUUUAACUGUUCAUAGAGAAUAUGAGAUCGCUGAUUCAUAAUCUUAACAUCAUCAGCUGUAGAAUUGGUGUGUUGACCAUUUUCUAUCGGAUUCUGAAAGCGGUUUCUAAUUUCAUGACUGCUGCCAAG